rnacentral:ncRNA from 1 species
CUAACACAUGCAAGUCGAACGCAUCCUUCGGGAUGAGUGGCGCACGGGUGAGUAACACGUGGGAACGUACCUUGGAGUACGGAAUAAUCCUUGGAAACGAGGACUAAUACCGUAUACGCCCUUCGGGGGAAAGAAUUUCGCUCCAAGAUCGGCCCGCGUCCGAUUAGCUAGUUGGCGGGGUAAUGGCCCACCAAGGCGACGAUCGGUAGCUGGUCCUGACUUGGGGCGAUGCCCCAAACCCCCUUUGAUUUUUGGGCAAGGGGGAGGGGUGG